rnacentral:rRNA from 1 species
UACGUAGGGGCAAGCGUUGUCCGGAAUCAUUGGGCGUAAAGCGCGUGUAGGCGGCUCGGUAAGUCUGCUGUGAAAAGUCCAGGGCUCAACCCUGGGAUGCCGGUGGAUACUGUCGAGCUCGAGUCCGGAAGAGGCGAGUGGAAUUCCGUGGUGUAGCGGUGAAAUGCGCAGAUAUCAAGGAGGAACACCCGUGGCGAAGGCGGCCUCCUCU